rnacentral:rRNA from 1 species
GAUGAACGCUAGCUACAGGCUUAACACAUGCAAGUCGAGGGGCAGCGGUAUCGAAAGCUUGCUUUCGGUAGCCGGCGACCGGCGCACGGGUGAGUAACGCGUAUCGAACCUGCCUCAUACUCGGGAAUAGCCUUGCGAAAGUAAGAUUAAUGCCCGGUGUUUUCAGAGUCCCGCAUGAGGCAUUGAACAAAGAUUUAUCGGUAUGAGAUGGCGAUGCGUCCCAUUAGCUUGUUGGCGGGGUAACGGCCCACCAAGGCAUCGAUGGGUAGGGGGUCUGAGAGGACGGUCCCCCACGUUGUAACUGACACACGAUCCAAACACCUAAGGGAGGCAGCAGUGAGGAAUCUUGGUCAAUGGGAGGCUGCCUGAACCACCCCAGUAGCGUGAAGGAAGACGUCCCUUCGGGUUGUACACUGCUUUUAGUUGGGAAUAAAACGGGGCUCGUGAGCCCCCUUGCAUGUACCAUCAGAAGAAGGACCGGCUAAUUCCGUG